ensembl:lincRNA
AUGAGGUUUUUGACCCCAAUCUCUUUGCUGCUGGAGCCAGGAGAGUCAGGAUCUCCAGGAAUCCAGGGUGAGCCGGGUGUCAGGGUCUUGGUUUUCCUGGAGACCCUGGCCCCCCAGGAGAAGGUGGCUCAUGACCAGGACAGUGUUAAGGGUGACUAUGGCAAGGAUGGGGUCCCUUGGCUGGAGGCCAACACUCACCCACCCCAAUUCCUCUCAUUCUGUGGAUCCUCUGGUCCCACUGGGGAGAAUGGACUACCUGGACCACAUGGAAAGCAGGGUCAGCUAAGAAUAGUCAUGACUCAAGGGUCAUUUAGGACACAGGAAGAUACCGGAUGAAGAAACUCUCCCCAAGUCCUAAACUCAUUCACAAAUUAGAAUACAUAGGUCCAGCCCAGGCACAGUGGCUGAAGCCUGGAAUCCUCCCCCUUCCUGCUUCGGGAGACCAAGGCAAGAGGAUCUCUCGAAGUGUGAGUUGGAGGCCAGCUUGGGCGACACAACCAGGAAAAGCAAGUGGCCACCAGGUGGUGCCCGAGAGCUGAGCCCGAGUUCCCUGGGAGGAAUCUGCACCCAGCCCUGGGAUGGCACAGGGAUGCCUCACGGGACACCUGGCCUCAUCCUGGUAGCCCCUUGCUUGCAUUUCCCGGCCCUGGGGUGUCCUCCCCGACUGCACAUGCAUGUAGAGACCAUUCCUCCUUCUCCAAAGAGGGAUUUGGAACAAUUCUCACAUGACCUGACGAGGGACAGCGGCUGUGCUCAGGGUCCCUCUUUUGUCCUCAGAGCAUGACCAGGCCUGUGGCUCUUGCUCAUUGCCCAAGAGCAUGGGAGGUUGCCCGUGGCAAGGCCCCGGAGGACCCUGCUGUGCUGCCUGGGACCAGGAGGCCCGGCUGCCUUCUCCCAGCACCUCUCCCAGCUAGGGUACUGUGCAGGAAAUGGGUGCAGAGGCCAUCGUGGUGGCUGCUCCUGGGGUCCCAGCGGCUCUAGCUGAGGCAGGAGGAGCCAGGGAGCCCAGGAGGCUGAGGCCCCUGUCCUACUGCUCUGGUUGUGCUGCAGUCUCUGUCACCACCACCAACUGCAGUGAGGUGAGCCACUGGGCUGCAGGCUCUAGCCUCCAGCCUGCGACAGAUCCCUCCUCUUUCUGACUCCUCCUGUAGCAGGGCACGGAGAAGCUCUUGCUCAUCGCCGCCUCCUACCACUCCGAACAUGCUGCAGUCUCGUUGACCACGCUGCAGUCUUGGUGGCCACCACCAACUGCAGGGAGCCUGGCCGGGUGCCGCAAGUUGCAGCCUCCACCUCCUCCUCUAAGUCGGGCAUGGAGCAGCAGCGGGAGCAGUCGCAGAAGAGGCUGGAAUGGUGGAAUGCACCCUCAGUAUUCAUUAUAUAUAGAGGUUUCGGCAAUGAGGUCCUGGACUUUGUGUUCUGAUUGGAUGGGGGAAACCUCUAGGCUUUAUCUUCAUGCCCUGAUUGGUUAUCCUAAGAGUUGCUCUCAUCCAAUCUUCUUUAUAAGUGGUCAUCUUUGUAAGUUCAUGCCCAUUGGGAGUUACUGAAGUUGUGAAUGAUUACAUUUAAACUUAUCCUGUAAUUUUAGUCUGAUUUAUUAAUUCCACCUAUCUCCUUAAGCAAAUUAUUCUCUAUAGUGAUGACCCAAGCAAAUUCCUGUCCCAAGAUGGUAUCAAGAUGAUACCCCAAGUUCCUCUCCAGAAUGGUAUCUGGAAAUAUGUGGAGGGAAAUAUUUUUUCUAGGCCUGUAUUAAAUAUGGCACUAAAGCUUAGUGGCUUAAAACAAUACACUGUUAUUAUCUCACAGCUUCUGUGAAUAAGUAGUUCAGGAGAGUGUAGCUGGGUGAUUCUUGCCAAGAGUCUCAUAAGGUUGCAGUCAAUCUGUUGGUGAGAAUUGUAGUUACUUGAAGACUUGGCUGGAGUUGAAGAAUUUAUAUCAAAGAUGGCUUACUUAUGGCAAUUGGAUGGAAGCCCCAGUUUCAGAAUGGCUGCUGGCAAUAGGUCUUUUUACUUGCCACAUGGACCUCUCCAUAGGCUGAUUGAAUGUCCUCCCAAUGUGUCAUCUGGCUUUCUCCAGUGCAAAAGAUCAAAGAAGAGAGUAUGAAGGAACCUGUAAUGCUCUUUAUAAUUUUGUCACAGACUGUCACUUCUGCCAUACUCUAUUGUUUAGAAGUUAGUCAUUAAGUCCAGCCCACACUCAAAAGAACGAGAAUUAACCUCCACCUUUGGAAGAGAGGCUAGUCAAAGCACUUGUGGACAUGUUUUGAAACCACAAAGGGGUAUGGCUGCCAGUCUCCAAGAUGGCCCCCAGUGAUUCUCAUCAGCUCUAAUAAGGAUGAGCAACAGGAUAGGCAACUUCACCCAAUCCCUGCCAGUUGUAGCCAGGCAGGCCAUACCUGCUAGAGCUUCCAGCCCCGUGGUACCACUUCUGACUGAACUCUGCCAACAAGCACAGUCUCUUGUUCUCCUAGGAAACACCUUAAUGGCAUGGUGAGUGACUCCACCCACUGCCACUGCUCACAGCCAGCAGCCCACACCUGCUAGAGUUUCCAGCCCAGCAGUCCUGCUUUUAUAUGAACUCUGCAGGUGGGGGCAACUCCAUGUUCCCCUGGGAAGCAGCUGUACAGCAGAUUAGGUGACUCCACUCAUCCCUGCAACUCCUAGCCAAGCAGUUCUUGCUGGCUUGGGUGGUGCCCAAGCAGUGGGGGAGUCCUCACUCUUGCAUCUCUAACAGAAGUGAGAUGCCCAAGUUCACAGGUCAGUGGAGGAGUGGGUUGUGCCUCCCUCUGUACAGCCAUUCCAGAAAGGAUAUGACCUGUUUGCCAACUGUGGCCCCUGCAUGAGGAAGCCCCAUGGACGAGAACACCUAAUAAAAGAAAUACAGGCAUGGAGUCAGUGAUCAGAGGGGGCUCUUCCAAGGCUCAGGGGUGGACAAGGUGAGGGGGUCAUCUCUACCCCACCCCCUAAAGAGCACUAUGCUAACUUGAGGAAAACACAAAAGAGCUGUGCAGCUGAGAAAAGCCUAUCUGCCUGUCUGCUGGCUAACACUUUUAAGUGCCACCUACUGGAUCACAGCAGAAAAUACAACACAAAAAUAUUUUGCCAGUACACAGCACCUGUGAAAACUAAGGCAAAGAUUAAGCAACAAAUAAACAUUCUGUACAUACUCGUGACCCUCUGAAAACACCCUAAAAAGAAGCCAACUGACUGUACUCAACUUACAUCACAGUUAAAGGAACACUAACCCUUACACAUGAAAAAGAAUCGAUGCAAAAACUCUGGCAACUCAAAAAGCCAGUGUGCCCCCUUACCUACAAACAAAUACACUAGUCCCCCAGAAAUGGUUCUUAGCCAGAUUGAGAUGACUGAAAUGAUGGAAAUAAAAUUCAAGAUCUGGAUGGCAAGGAGGAUCAAUGGGAUCAAAGAGAAAGUUGAAUCCAAGGAACCCAGUAAAACAAUCCAGGAGCUGAAAGAUUAAACAGCCAUUUUAAGAAAGAACCAGCUGGGUGUGAUGGCUCACGCCUGUAAUCCCAGCACUGUGGGAGGCCGAGGCGAGUGGAUUACUUGAGGUUAGGAGUUUUGAGACCAGCCUGGCCAACAUGAUGAAACCCCGUCUCUAACUA